rnacentral:rRNA from 1 species
UACAGAGGGGGCAAGCGUUAUUUGGAUUCACUGGGUUUAAAGGGUGCGUAGGAGGGCAGGUAAGUCAGUGGUGAAAUCUCCGAGCUUAACUUGGAAACUGCCGUUGAUACUAUCUGUCUUGAAUAUUGUGGAGGUGAGCGGAAUAUGUCAUGUAGCGGUGAAAUGCUUAGAUAUGACAUAGAACACCAAUUGCGAAGGCAGCUCGCUACACAUAUAUUGACUCUGAGGCACGAAAGCGUGGGGAUCAAACAGG